UGUUAGUCAAUAUCCAUUUGCUGUCUACAAUUCCACCUAAGAGAGGGAAGAUUGCUCAUUUUCUGUGUGCCUGAGAGACAAGGAGAAGUCAAGAUCCUACAAUGGCCAUCAUGGUGACUCCUCCUCUUUUCCUCCUCUUCAUCCUUUUGCCCUGCAGUAAAUCCCAGGAGGACUUUCUGGACCAGCAUCAGAAAUGGAACUACAGAGAAGGCGCUGACAAGGUCAACAUCGAAGGUGUUCACAGCAUUACUCAAACCCUUGAGAAAUGGGGAAAUGACAUCUUCUGGCAAAUGAAGCAUACCCUGCUGAACAACC